rnacentral:rRNA from 1 species
GAUGAACGCUGGCGGCGUGCCUAAUACAUGCAAGUCGAGCGAACAGACGAGGAGCUUGCUCCUCUGACGUUAGCGGCGGACGGGUGAGUAACACGUGGAUAACCUACCUAUAAGACUGGGAUAACUUCGGGAAACCGGAGCUAAUACCGGAUAAUAUAUUGAACCGCAUGGUUCAAUAGUGAAAGACGGUUUUGCUGUCACUUAUAGAUGGAUCCGCGCCGCAUUAGCUAGUUGGUAAGGUAACGGCUUACCAAGGCAACGAAGCGUAGCCGACCUGAGAGGGUGAUCGGCCACACUGGAACUGAGACACGGUCCAGACUCCUACGGGAGGCGGCAGUAGGGAAUCUUCCGCAAUGGGCGAAAGCCUGACGGAGCAACGCCGCGUGAGCGAUGAAGGUCUUCGGAUCGUAAAACUCUGUUAUUAGGGAAGAACAAAUGUGUAAGUAACUAUGCACGUCUUGACGGUACCUAAUCAGAAAGCCACGGCUAACUACGUG